AGUGGAUGGGGAGCAACCUAGUUGUGCGUGUGUAAAGGUAGUGCCAAGAAAAGCGAUGAUCAUGUUGAAAAUCAAUUCCCGGUACCCGAAACCGACACAGGUGGGCAAGUAGAGAAUACUAAGGGGCGCGAGGUAACUCUCUCCAAGGAACUCGGCAAAAUGACCCCGUAACUUAGGGAGAAGGGGUGCCACCGAGAGGUGGUCGCAGUGAGGAGGCCCAGGCGACUGUUUAGCAAAAACAUAGGUCUCUGCAAACUCGAAAGAGGAGGUAUAGGGGCUGACGCCUGCCCAGUGCCGGAAGGUUAAAGAAGUUGGUCAGUCUUAGGAUGAAGCUAGCGACUGAAGCCCCGGUGAACGGCGGCCGUAACUAUAACGGUCCUAAGGUAGCGAAAUUCCUUGUCGGGUAAGUUCCGACCCGCACGAAAGGCGUAACGAUCUGGGCGCUGUCUCGGAGAGAGGCUCGGCGAAAUAGGAUUGUCUGUGAAGAUACGGACUACCUGCAUUUGGACAGAAAGACCCUAUGAAGCUUUACUAUAGCUUGGAAUUGUGUUCGGGCUUCCUGUGCGCAGGAUAGGUGGGAGGCGUAGAAGGUAUUCUUGUGGGGAUACUGGAGCCAACGGUGAGAUACCACUCUCAGGAGGCUAGAAUUCUAACUUAAUUAAGGACAGUUUCAGGUGGGUAGUUUGACUGGGGCGGUCGUCUCCAAAAAGGUAACGGAGGCGUACAAAGGUUCCCUCAGACUGGUUGGAAAUCAGUCGAAGAGUGCAAAGGCAGAAGGGAGCUUGACUGCGAGAAGUACAGUUCGAGCAGGGUGGAAACACGGUCUUAGUGAUCCGACGGUGCUGUGUGGAAGGGCCGUCGCUCAACGGAUAAAAGUUACUCUAGGAUAACAGGCUGAUCUCCCCCAAGAGUUCACAUCGACGGGGAGGUUUGGCACCUCGAAGUCGGCUCAUCGCAACCUGGGGCGGAAGUACGUCCCAAGGGUUGGGCUGUUCGCCCAUUAAAGCGGUACGUGAGCUGGGUUCAGAACGUCGUGAGACAGUUCGGUCCAUAUCCGAUGUAAGCGUGAGAAUAUUGAGAGGAGCCUUCCUUAGUACGAGAGGACCGGGAAGGACGCACCGCUGGUGUACCUGUUAUGAUGCCAAUUGUAAACGCAGGGUAGCCAAGUGCGGAGAGGAUAACCGCUGAAAGCAUCUAAGUGGGAAGCCCACCUCAAGAUGAGUAUUCUGGUGUAAGGUCACGGGAAGACGACCCGUAAAUAGGCACGAGGUGGAAGUGCAGAGAUGUAUGAAGCCGAAGUGUACUAAUAGACCGUCGGCUUGAUC
rnacentral:rRNA from 1 species